rnacentral:rRNA from 1 species
AUUGAACGCUGGCGGCAUGCCUUACACAUGCAAGUCGAACGGUAACAGGUUAAGCUGACGAGUGGCGAACAGGUGAGUAAUACAUCGGAACGUGCCCAGUAGUGGGGGAUAGCCCGGCGAAAGCCGGAUUAAUACCGCAUACGACCUAAGGGGGAAAGGGGGGGAUCGCAAGACCUCCCGCUAUUGGAGCGGCCGAUGUCAGAUUAGCUAGUUGGUGGGGUAAAAGCUCACCAAGGCGACGAACUGUAGCUGGUCUGAGAGGGCGACCAGCCACACUGGGAGUGAGACACGGCCCAGACUCAGACGGGAGGCAGGAGUGGGGAAUCUUAGACAAUGGGGGGAAGCCUGAUAGAGCCAUGCCGCGUGAGUGAUGAAGGCCUUAGGGAUGUAAAGCCCUCUCAGCUGGGAAGAGAAUGACGGUACCAGAAGAAGAAGCCCCGGCUAACUCCGUG